UAUUAGUCAAUGCUCGCAAGAGUGAACGAGCUAACUGAAUGAAUAUAUAAUCUAAAGUUAGGAAUCUUAUAAAAUUUAUUAUAAGUUUAAAGACGAAUCUAACUAACAGUGUCGUCCAAAUUCUGGUGCCAGAAGUCUCGGUAAUACCAGAGACGCGACCGUUAAUCAUCUUGAAUGGGCAUAAAGGGUUUGUAGGCGGCUUAUUUAUUAAUAGGCUAGAAUCUUAUAGAGGUUAAUAAAAUACUUAGAGGAGGGCUGAUAUCCUUAGAUCCUAAGUGGAAUCCUAAUUGCGAAGGCCAUUUUCCACUACAGAUUGACGCUGAUACACGAAGGUUAGGAUAGGAACUAGGAUUAGAGACCCUAUUUCCCCUAACUGUAAACGAUGAAUGGAAGAUAUUUACAACUGUAAGUGUCGAAGUGAAUACGAUAACCAUUCCGCCUUGCCAGUAUACUUGCAAAAGUGAAAACAAAAAAAUUAGUCGGUCCUAAAGCAAACGAAGUGAAGCAUGUUAUUUAUUUA
rnacentral:rRNA from 1 species